rnacentral:rRNA from 1 species
UACAGAGGUCCCAAGCGUUGUUCGGAUUCACUGGGCGUAAAGGGUGCGUAGGCGGCCAAGUAAGUUUGAUGUGAAAUCCCGCAGCUCAACUGCGGAACUGCAUUGAAUACUAUUUGGCUCGAGGAAUGGAGGGGAGACUGGAAUUCUCGGUGUAGCAGUGAAAUGCGUAGAUAUCGAGAGGAACACCAGUGGCGAAGGCGAGUCUCUGGACAUUUCCUGACGCUCAGGCACGAAAGCCAGGGGAGCAAACGGGG